UACGUAGGGUGCAAGCGUUGUUCGGAAUUAUUGGGCGUAAAGCGCGUGUAGGCGGUUCGCUAAGUCCGGCGUGAAAGCCCCGGGCUUAACUCCGGAAGUGCACUGGAUACUGGCGAGCUAGAGGACGGGAGAGGGAAGUGGAAUUCCUGGUGUAGGGGUGAAAUCCGUAGAUAUCAGGAGGAACAUCGGUGGCGAAGGCUGCUUCCUGGUCCGUUACUGACGCUCAGACGCGAAAGCAUGGGUAGCAAACAGG
rnacentral:rRNA from 1 species